GAUGAACGCUGGCGGCGUGCCUAAUACAUGCAAGUCGAACGAGGUGCUUUUGUAGCAAUACGAGAGUAUCCUAGUGGCGAACGGGUGAGUAACGCGUUGGUGACCUACCCCAAAGUGUGGGAUAACAGUCCGAAAGGAUUGCUAAUACCGCAUGUGGUCUUCGGAUUUAGAAACUGAUGACUAAAGGAGCAAUUCGCUUUGGGAGGGACCUGCGUCCCAUCAGCUAGUUGGUGAGGUAAUGGCUCACCAAGGCUACGACGGGUAGGGGACCUGAGAGGGUGACCCCCCACAAUGGAACUGAAACACGGUCCAUACACCUACGGGUGGCAGCAGUAGGGAAUAUUGCACAAUGGGCGAAAGCCUGAUGCAGCAACGCCGCGUGUGCGAUGAAGGCCUUCGGGUCGUAAAGCACUUUCUGGGAGAUGAGCAAGGACAGUAUCUCAGGAAUAAGUCUCGGCUAACUACGUAGCCAGCAGCCGCGGUAAU
rnacentral:rRNA from 1 species